rnacentral:rRNA from 1 species
CAGAGGGUGCGAGCGUUGUCCGGAAUCACUGGGCGUAAAGGGCGCGUAGGUGGCUUGCUAAGCGUGUGGUGAAAGCCUGGGGCUCAACCCCAGGUCUGCCGUGCGAACUGGCAAGCUUGAGCAUAGUAGAGGCAGGUGGAAUUACGGGUGUAGCGGUGGAAUGCGUAGAUAUCCGAAAGAACACCGGUGGCGAAGGCGGCCUGCUGGGCUAUUGCUGACACUGAGGCGCGACAGCGUGGGGAGCAAACAGGAUUAGAUACCCUGGUAGUCCACGCCGUAAACGAUGGGUACUAGGCGUCUGGGGGAGCGACCCCCUGGGUGCCGGCGCUAACGCAUGAAGUACCCCGCCUGGGGAGUACGGCCGCAAGGCUG